ACGGAAGGCAGCAGUAGGGAAUAUUGCACAAUGGGGGAAACCCUGAUGCAGCGACGCCGCGUGAGUGAUUGAAGUAUUUCGGUAUGUAAAGCUCUAUCAGCAGGGAAGAUAAUGACGGUACCUGACUAAGAAGCCCCGGCUAACUACGUGCCAGCAGCCGCGGUAAUACGUAGGGGGCAAGCGUUAUCCGGAUUUACUGGGUGUAAAGGGAGUGUAGGUGGUCUGGUAAGUCAGAUGUGAAAGCCCGCGGCUCAACUGCGGGACUGCAUUUGAAACUAUCAGACUAGAGUGCAGGAGAGGAAAGUGGAAUUCCUAGUGUAGCGGUGAAAUGCGUAGAUAUUAGGAAGAACACCAGUGGCGAAGGCGGCUUUCUGGACUGUAACUGACACUGAGGCUCGAAAGCGUGGGGAGCAAACAGGAUUAGAUACCCUGGUA
rnacentral:rRNA from 2 species